rnacentral:misc_RNA from 1 species
GUGGGAGUUGAAAAGGACAAAAAAAUGUACCAAAGAGUAAAUACCAUUGGUGGUGGGAAACCAGAGAGACAGACCAACAGCAUUUGAAUGCAAUUGCAGUAGUAAAUUUGAAAUUGAUGGAGUGUAACGAAUUUUUGCUUUCGUCUUAAAUUUUUCUUCUUGUUUGCUGCCACAAAGCAACUCCGAUCGGCUUCAAGCGUUAGAGAAGUUGAAGAAAAGCAUUGAUGGUAUAAGAGGAAGUGGUUGGAAGCUCUUUUGAACUCUCCUUCAACGUUUCUUGUUCCUGGGUAAGUUGGCUUUUGGAGGGUUUUUUCAGCAGACCAACCACCUCCCCCUUUUAAUGCGAGAUUCUGUUGUUAGAGUUGGCUUCGAAUCUGGGUUUUGUAUCUUUGUUGGGUGUGAUGGUGUUGAAUUUGAAUUGGAACCCGCAAAGUAUGGGCCUUUGAAAGGAUGCUAAAGCUACGGUUUCUCUUAUCAGUGUUAAAGUGAAAUUGUCUGUGGAAACUGGAGAGAACGAGGAGGCAUCCAUGCACCUCUUAAUAUGGAAGCCAAUAACUCAUUGUGCUUCUUUGAUAAUGGACAAGAAGGCCAGAAGGAGAGAUGGUUCUGCUUUGGGUUCUCGUUCUGGCGGAUUGUCUAUGCUCCGUCAAUUGCAAGAGAACAAGCUCAAGGAGGCUCUCGAGGAAGCAUCUGAAGAUGGGUCGCUUGCAAAAUCCCAAGACAUCGAUGCUGAGUCAUCCCCAAAUCAAGAAAGAACAGCCAUUGGGAGGUCAAGAUCUCUUGCUAGGCUCAAUGCCCAGAAGGAAUUCUUGCGUGCUACAGCUCUGGCAGCAGAAAGAACCUUCUGCUCUGAGGACUCAAUUCCUGACCUCCGUGAUGCGUUCUCUAAGUUCCUCACUAUGUACCCAAAGUUUCAAUCCACAGAAAAGAUUGAUCGGCUGCGGCUUGAUGAAUACGGGAAUCUAUCCGAGUCCAUGUCAAAGGUAUGUCUUGAUUACUGUGGCUUCGGUCUGUUUUCUCAUCUACAAACUCAGCAACAUUGGGAAUCAUCUGCUUUUACUUUGCACGAAAUAACUACAAAUUUGAGUAAUCAUGCUCUCUAUGGAAGUGCUGAAAAGGGCACUGCUGAACAUGAUGUAAAGAGUAAGAUUAUGGAUUAUUUGAACAUCCCU